AAGCAAAUUUUCCUUCUCAUUCUCUCUAUUUUUCUCUACAAAUCAACCAUAUAUGCCCAAGGGAAUUCUAACCAAAAACAAAAUCAAAUUUCAAUUUUUAUUUCUCUUGUUUUUCUGUGAUUCGAACCACCAAACCACCACCAAUAACCACCGUCCACCACCACUGCAACCACCGAUCACCACCACUGCCACCUCCGUCCAACCACCCAUACUCGACCACCUAACACCACCCUAACCUCCGUCGGCCACCGCAGCACCCCACCAAACUUCCCUGCCCUCUCAUCCCACGCAACUCCCUACUCCUCUCUUCUCUCCUUCGCCGAGCCACCAGGGCCACAACCACCACACCACCAUCACCACCAGCAACAUGUCCACCCAAAAACACCACCACGCCCCACCGUACUUUCCCCUGCUCUCCUCCUCCUUCGUCGCAACUCCUCUGCCCUCCCCUGCCUCCCUUUUUCCUCGUUUCCCUAGCUGCGCCACCACACCGCAACCACCACACCCCGUCACCCUCACCAAUCGGUGAACCAAGCUCCGCCGUCCCAAAUUUCCCGGCGAGCCCCCACUGCCUCCUCCCAGAACCACCCCAAAGCACCCCUCAAACUCCCCCUUGUUAUUUCCCUGUUCGUGCUCCCCUCCCUCUCUCCCGUCGUUUUUCCGCCGCAAGACAACCACCACCACCGUCGCCUCCGGCGCGGGUUCGCGUGGCUGCGUCGCCCAGCUCAACCGCCCUCCCUCCUCUCCUCCUUCCUUCGUGCUCCCCCAGCUUCGUGCCCUCCCUGCCUGCUCAGAAAACCAAAAUCAAUUAAGUUUCAAUUUGAAACUUAAUUGAUUCUCCUUAAACACAUAAUAAGUUGGGCUAUAUCUCAUUUGGGCCUUUUGAAAUUGGACUCGGAGCUCAGGAAGAACGAUCCAUCAGACGGGUAGUAUAAAACUACGUUUGAGAAAUACAAGAGAUUAUGCAUCCAGAAUUGAAAUCGUGCAAAGAAUAAAUUCUGCAAGGAAAACAAAAGCAGGAGGAGAAGAAGAAAAUCCUGACAACAAUGGAAACCAAGAACGUGGUAGAGGAAGGACAUGAUGUGUUGGUGGAAAAAAGAGACGUGGUCCACGUGAACGUGUCGAUUAGUAUUUUUUAGUUCAAAAAACAUUUGAGUUUAACAUGGUUUAUUUAUAGAUGCAAAGAAUUAGAAUGUCGUAGCUAAAACAACUAACCAAGUAGUUAAUGUUUUCUUUAUUA